CUUGAUCGAGCCGAGCCGCAGGGGAUGUUCGCGCUCCUGCCCGUACGUCGCCAGCAGAGCCUGUGCCUC
rnacentral:antisense_RNA from 1 species